GACACAGCACAGUCCUACGAAACCACCCGUAACUCAGGCCAGGCGUCCACGCUGACACAGCACAGUCCUACGAAACCACCCGUAACUCAGGCCAGGCGUCCACGCUGACACAGCACAGUCCUACGAAACCACCCGUAACUCAGGCCAGGCGUCCAUGCUGACACAGCACAGUCCUACGAAACCACCCGUAACUCAGGCCAGGCGUCCACGCUGACACAGCGCAGUCAUACAAAACCACCCGUAACUCAGGCCAGGCGUCCACGCUGACACAGCACAGUCCUACGAAACCACCCAUAACUCAGGCCAGGCGUCCACGCUGACACAGCGCAGUCCUACGAAACCACCCACAACUCAGGUCAGGCGUCCACGCUGACACAGCUGUACCAUCCCGUCAGCUGUCACCACAGAGUUUUUC
rnacentral:lncRNA from 1 species